UGGCCCUAGGGCAGAAAUCAGUCACAGCUGCCAGUCAGUUAAUAACUACCACCACUCUGGUCUAGUACAUGCAUGCCUGGGACACAGGCCCAGGUGGGGCCCUGCUGGCCAACCUGGCUAACGCACAGCCCUACAGCUUUUCCCAGGCAGGCAUGUGUUCCCACCCCCGCCAUCAGGUGGGUAGUAGAGGUUCUUAAAGAAAAUAGAGUGUUCCUCUUUGGGGGACCCACUUGCCUGCUUGAAGGUUAUAGAUCAAUGCACAUACAGAGCUGCUAGCACCAUCCCGUACGAGUAGCCACAUCACCACCAUCUCUGCAAUCCUCAGAGUACCUCUGUACAGCCAGGGGUGUGUUGAGCUUCCUUCAACAAACUCUAAAUGGCCACAGCAAGCCUCAGGCCCCUACCCUUUCCUGGUCCCUCCUCUGCUUGCUAGCAGGAGAAACGGCCCUUGGGUCUAGCUGCUAAUCUCAUCUGGAUGUGGGAUGGGUUAGAUACAGAGCGCUUAUCUUCAAACCCCUGUGUGUAGACCAUAUAAGCCUUUUUGGGAUACCACCUCCCUUAAUCCUCCCAGCCCUGCUCCCGCCCCCUACUUGCAUCACUUUACAAGGGCUGGUUACACCAAGGAAACUCCAGCGUGAGGAUGGGAUUGAGGCAGCACAAUGCAAAUAAACUCCUUUAAAGGGGCUAGUUGGGGCUGGCAGGGCCCUGCCUUUUGUAUCGGUGCUAUUCCUUGCCUUUCCUAAGGUGCAGGCUUAUGGCUCUGCCGUGGGUAAUCUCUCUCUCCCCUGCUCUAACUUAGCCAGGUUGCUUUGCUUCUGUCAUCCUGUGCACUAGCUCCUCCAGCAUUGCUGUCACACGGCACUCAGCCAGGAGCAUGUGCAAAGGAUCAUGGUGGAAUUUAUAUUAGCAAAAUGCCUGACAAAGGGAGACGGAGAGGUGCUUGGGGGUUGAGUUUAAUUUGUCACAAGGUGCCUGUGCCCCGUUGUUAUCCUGGACUGGGCAAUAACCACCAGGAAGGUGUACAGCUUCUAAAUGUGACAACAGCCAACCUGGGAGUGCUCCACAGGCUACAGAUCAAGGAGGCUCUAACUUCAGGAGGCUCCUUAUACAAUGUAGUGUCUUACUUGAAUCCCAUAGAGUCUCUGUAGGAGAAAUGACCCUCAAAGCUAUUUGUGUCUGGCUGCUGUGACAAGCCACAGUCCUGCCCUGCCACAUCUCCUCUCUUUUCUGGGCAGGGCCAAGGCCUUGGCCAGAAUAAGUUCUAUUUUAAUACCUAAGCACCAGGAAAACUCUCAUUCUUAACCAGGUUCCCAGUGAGUGGGAGGCAUGGGGUGAGCCAUUUUCCCUGCAGCGCCCCUGCUCCAUAGCCCCAGGAUCCGGUUGUCGGAAGGAAGGUUUACCUCCUUGCCUUCGUAGUCACAGAGUGCCUCCACAGGGAUGGGCUUGAGCGGGCUCUCCCGGCGGUACUUCAGAGGCAGCACCUGCAGGCUGUGCGUCUUCAGGGACUUCACCACUGCCUCAUACUUGUCCAAGGCCUUCUCCUGAUCCUAGGGGGAAAGGAAAAGCCAUGAUGAGGUGGGAGGUUUUAAAAUGUGCCGCUGCCACCCAUGGACCACCAGAGGGCUGUGCAUGUGGCAUGUUGGUCAUGGAAGGGAGACCUUUACUGAGACAGCUGUUGGGCCAGCCUGAAAUGCUCCCUCGGGCCCUGGCUGGCAGAGCUGAAUUGUAAAGCCUGGACAUCAUCUCAUCUACUCUGGCCCUUUUAAAAGAGAUGUUUGGUGUUGAAUAUUCACAAUGCAAAAUGUCAAGAAAUAUGAAAAUGUUCUCCUCAGCAGUGAUGCCUUCCAUUUGCAGAGGCUGAAGUGCUGUUCAAGUCUGAGGCUCCUGCUGGCAUUUCCCAUUUCCACAGGCAAGAGGCGCUACUGCUGCCCCUGGGCACUGAGUGGACGACGUAAGCAACCUGAAGAGGAAAAUGCGCUUGUCUGCUCUUUCCUCCCCUUAACUGUUGUGUGCCAUUGCCACAGCUGAGAUGUGCAAACGAAACGCUUGUGAGGUCAGCAGGAGAGGGGAGCUUGUCGGGGGGAGGGAACGAGAGAAGGGACAAAUAUGAACUUGUCUUUGUUAUUUAGCAUUCACUAGUAACACAGAUAUUGAGGGUUUGUGUAAUAAGUGAGGAGUGACAGCCAGGGGCCCAGUGCCUCCUAGGGAGACAGUGGGGUGGGACCAGUACAAAUGCAGCCACAACCAGUAAACUUUUCUAAGGACAUGUCCUUGAUCAAUGAUCAGAAAGGAAGUUUGCUCACUGGCUCCCAGCACCUUCCCCACCCAGGAUCAUAUGCUUACCCCCAGCCCCCAACACUUGGGACCAGCAUUGAACCAGAGGCUGGAGAAGGGUUUGGGGGCAUGGGGAAGGAGGAGGGUGGCUGGCUGCCUGCACUGGGGUGGAGGCAUGUCCAUUACUGCGUGUGUUGGCUGUGCAGUGCUCUGGCCUGGGAGCAGCCCCGUUGCUCUGCCUGGCUUUUCCCUGGGUGGGUGGCUCUGUGGACUAACGUUUCCCUCAGGGGUGGUCCUGCCACGUCCCAUGACAAACUUAUGAUGCUCCCAACGUGAGAAAGUAGGAGUGUGAUGGGAGAAUCCCAACAGUUCAGCCCCAUGCUCCCUCGUCUUGUCAUGAAAGUUGUAAUAGAAGGCCGAAGGGGAAGACAGGGUGUGGCCAGCACAGAACAAUAAAUAUGUGAAUGCAGAGUCCAGGCCCCAGCGCCUGCCAUGGGCAGAGACUGGGCAGCCCACCAGCCCGCUUGCACCCUUCUAGGCAGCACCUGCUCUGAUGCCACAAAGGUUCCUCCCAUCACCAAGGCCAGUGUCAUGCUCUUCCGUUAUUGUGCUGCUACUCACAUCCAGCUCCCUGAGAAGUGACUCUAGCUGGUAUCUGUCCUUGACGUCAGGGUUGUAUUUCUGGUCCAGGUCUGUGUCCACCUUCUUCAACAGCUCCUGGGCAUCCGUAGCAUUCUUUUGGAACUGCAGGAAGGCCAAGCAAGACUUCUUUAAAAGAGAACCCCCAGCUGGCAGAGAGAUCUGACCCCUACAUGGGCUAAGCACAGCUCUGCUUGUCAGGGGAGGAACAAGAUAACAGGCCUGGCGGAAACGGGGUAAUUGGAUCUCUGUUUUACCCAAUUUAUACACUUGCAGUAGAAGGGAGCAUUUUGGUUGGCAUUUGGCAGCUCAGGAAGCCAUGCAAAGCUGAAGAGCCAUUUAUAGGAUGAGUGCCAAUACAGGACAAAGGGCAUGGGAGUUUUCUCCAUGGACUGUCAUCUCAGGGUGCUGGGUCAGGGUCAAGUAGGCAUUCCUGGAUGGGAUGGUGUUCUCUCCAGGGGAUGCAGGGAAAAGACAUACCAGUUAGCAUUCUCUGGGAUACUCACCUCAACGGGGUUCUUUCCAGGGUGGUUUUGGGCUAGUAGCUGAUCUCCUUCCACGUGCAGUUUGUUGACAGCCUCCUCUCUCUCUUCUAGAUUGUGAUUGAUGAAGUUCUAGAGAGAGGCAGUGAAGGUGUCGGGCUCAGAACGGAAUGCGUGAAGGGGACCCCUUGCUAACAGACCAGAACACAGGAACCCAGGCUACAGCAGGGGGAAGGGACCCUUGCUUACACCCCAGAUUUUACAUACCUUAAAAUGAAGGGGUCUGACUCCUUGGUGCACUCAAAACAGAGACUCCCUCAAGGCCAGGAAGCCCCAGCCCUGCCCUGCUGCAUCUUAGCCUCCUCCUUUCCUUAUAGUUGCUUGUAAAGUCUGAGCUGGAUUCUCUCCUUGCUCCCACCAAGGUAAAUCCAGCAUGAGCAAGGGGAGAAUCAGGCCCUAUGUCAAUACAGGUAUUUUCAUUCUUUUUUGCUUUAGGGCCUGAUCUGUUUGUACAUGUAAUAACAUCAAGCCCUAUCUCUUA